rnacentral:misc_RNA from 1 species
GUGAAUCAUCGAAUCUUUGAACGCAAAUUGCACCUCCUGGUAUUCCGGAGAGUAUGCCUGUUUGAGGGUCAGUUUUAAUCACAAUCGGUGUGGUUGCUGCCUUUCGUGGUGACGCUUUGGAUUUGGGUUGUCUUGCAUUCGGUUAAGUGACCUAAAAUUUUGCUUGAUUUUUUUCGAACGUAUUUAACUGAUUUUACGUCCGUUUGCGAUAUCGAAUAUUA